rfam:Schistosoma haematobium scaffold1903_3, whole genome shotgun sequence.
GUCCAUCUGAUGAGACCCAAACAGAACGAAACGUGCGUCCUGGAU